AUUGAACGCUGGCGGCAGGCUUAACACAUGCAAGUCGAGCGGAGUGAUGGUGCUUGCACUAUCACUUAGCGGCGGACGGUGAGUAAUGCUUAGGAAUCUGCCAUUUAGUGGGGGACAACAUUCCGAAAGGAAUGCUAAUACCGCAUACGUCCUACGGGAGAAAGCAGGGGAUCUUCGGACCUUGCGCUAAAUGAUGAGCCUAAGUCGGAUUAGCUAGUUGGUGGGGUAAAGGCCUACCAAGGCGACGAUCUGUAGCGGGUCUGAGAGGAUGAUCCGCCACACUGGGACUGAGACACGGCCCAGACUCCUACGGGAGGCAGCAGUGGGGAAUAUUGGACAAUGGGCGGAAGCCUGAUCCAGCCAUGCCGCGUGUGUGAAGAAGGCCUUUUGGUUGUAAAGCACUUUAAGCGAGGAGGAGGCUACUAGUACUAAUACUACUGGAUAGUGGACGUUACUCGCAGAAUAAGCACCGGCUAACUCUGUGCCAGCAGCCGCCGCAGUAA
rnacentral:rRNA from 1 species